rnacentral:rRNA from 1 species
GAUGAACGCUGGCGGCGUGCCUAACACAUGCAAGUCGAGCGUGAUUUAUGAGGACGAAACUUCGGUCUAGGAAUCAUAAUGAAAGCGGCGGACGGGUGAGUAACGCGUAGGCAACCUGCCCUUGACACAGGGAUAGCCUCGGGAAACCGGGAUUAAAACCUGAUGACGCCAAACAGUCACAUGGCUGUUUGGCCAAAGAUUUAUCGGUCAAGGAUGGGCCUGCGUCUGAUUAGUUAGUUGGUGGGGUAUCGGCCUACCAAGACGACGAUCAGUAGCCGACCUGAGAGGGGGAUCGGCAACAUUGGAACGGAGACACGGUCCAAACGCCUACGGGAGGCAGCAGUGGGGAAUAUUGCACAAUGGGCGAAAGCCUGAUGCAGCAACGCCGCGUGAGCGAUGAAGGCCUUUGGGUCGUAAAGCUCUGUCCUUGGGGAAGAAACAAAUGACGGUACCCAAGGAGGAAGCCCCGGCUAACUACGUGCCAGCCGCCGCCGUAA